rnacentral:lncRNA from 1 species
CGCAUGGGGGCAACCUACGUUAAGUUGGGUCAGGUAACUCUUGUUGUAUUCUUGUUUUUUGAUCGCCACUCCAUAACUUUAUUCAUUAUAUCCAAUGUAAAUUAGCAAAAGAUUAUUAUUUUACUUGUCUAUCUUUGUUCAUUCAACGUACACAAUCACUAAUGCUAUGCUACUUACAAAUGGUAGUUCAUUGCAUCUGCUCCAACUUUGUUCCCAUCAGAAUAUGUCGAAGAAUUUCAGAACUGCUUUGACAGAACUCCUGCAGUACCCUUUGCCGAGAUUCAAGCAAUCUUGCGUCAGGAAUUGGG